UGCCAUGGACAAAAGGUCGUAAUGACAUGAUAAGGCCGGGCAGGAAAUUUCUCCGCUACGUCUUGCGACAGCAAUGAAAAGUUGUUUUUCAGAUCCGGUAGUGCAAGAGUGUUGCUACUGCUAAACUCUUACUAUGCUUGAAUUUAGCACAACUUAAGUCCGCAUAUUUUCAGCUCUGUUGAUUUGUCACCAACCGUGGGUACCGUAGCAUGAAGCAGAUACGUCUCCUCCUCCUACACCUCCUCUACGUUGGCCUGAGCCUCGCCGAUGGAGAUGACCAAUUCGUGUACUCGGGCUUCGGCGGCACGAACCUCACGCUGGACGGCGUGGGGGUCACGGCGGACGGCAUGCUGGAGCUGACAAACGGCACGCUCCAGCGCAAAGGCCACGCCUUCUACCCCGCGCCGCUGCGCUUCCGCAAUGGCACGACGUCGACGUUCCGGUCCUUCUCCGCCUCCUUCGUCUUCGGCAUCCUGUCCGACCACGUGGGCCUGAGCGCCCACGGCAUGGCGUUCGUCGUCGCCGCCGGCCUCAACUUCUCUGACGCGCUGCCCAGCGGCUACCUGGGCCUCCUCAACGUCCAGAGCAACGGCAACGCGAGCAACCGCCUGGUCGCCGUCGAGCUGGACACCAUGCAGAACGACGAGUUCGGUGACAUCAACGACAACCACGUCGGCAUCGACGUCAACAGCCUCAGCUCGGUGCAGUCCUACUACGCCGGCUACUACGACGACGGCAGCGUGAACGGCGACUUCCGAAACCUGACCUUGAUCAGCGGCGAGGCCAUGCAGGUGUUGGUGGAGUACGACGGGGAGGCCACCCAGAUGAACGUGACCGUGGCUCCGCUCAACGUGGCCAAGCCUACGCGGCCACUCGUCUCGGCCAGGCACGACCUCUCCAAGGUGCUCACUGACGUGGCAUACGUCGGCUUCUCCGCCGCCACCGGCGGCACGCUCCGAUCGCGGCACUAUGUGCUCGGAUGGAGCUUCGGUCUGAACCGCCCGGCUCCGGCCAUCGACAUCAGCAAGCUACCAAGGCUUCCCCGUGUUGGUUCAAACGACAGGUCCAGAGCCCUCACGAUCGCCCUCCCAAUAGCAACGGCGACCUUCCUCCUCGCCGGUGCCGCGGCCAUUUUCGUGCUCGUGCGAAGGCACCGGAGGUACGCCGAGCUGCUGGAAGAAUGGGAGGUGGAGUUCGGGCCACACCGGUUCUCAUACAAGGAUCUGUUCCGCGCCACGGAAGGAUUCAAGAGCGAUCACCUGCUGGGCAUAGGCGGGUUUGGGAGGGUGUACAAGGGUGUCCUCCCCUUGUCCAAAUCGGAGAUCGCCGUGAAGAGAGUGUCACACGAUUCGAAGCAGGGCAUGAAGGAGUUCAUCGCCGAGGUGGUCAGCCUCGGCCGCCUCCAGCACCGCAACCUGGUGCAGCUGCUGGGAUAUUGCAGGCGCAAAGGUGAGCUCCUCCUAGUUUACGACAACAUGUGCAAUGGAAGCCUUGACAAGUACUUGCAUGCCAGCGACGACCGCUUGUUGGUGCUGGACUGGGCUACGAGGUUCCGGAUCAUCAAAGGCAUAGCCUCUGGCUUAGUCUACCUCCACCAUGAGUGGGAGAAAGUGGUGAUACAUCGAGACAUCAAGGCCAGCAAUGUCCUCCUCGACAACGAGAUGAAGGGUCGAUUAGGGGACUUCGGCCUAGCGAGGCUCUACGACCAUGGCGCCGGCGCCGACCCGCAAACUACCCGCGUGGUUGGCACGCUAGGGUACAUAGCGCCGGAGCUAGGCCGCAACGGCAAGGCAUCUCCCGGGACAGACGUAUUUGCUUUCGGGGUGUUCAUGCUGAGGUUACGUGUGGGCAGCGGCCUAUCAGUCAUGAAAGAACAGACGAUCAGGCCUUGCUGGUUAAUUGGGUGCUUCACCACUGGCAAAAUGGGUCCAUUUUGGACACGGUGGAUGCUAGGCUCCACGGCAACUAUGGUAAGGAUGAGGCCAGUUUGGUGCUAAAGCUUGGAAUUCUAUGUACGCACCCAUUCAGCGAUGCAAGGCCCAGCAUGCGCCAGGUUAUGCAGUAUCUUGACGGCGGCACGCCCUUACCGGACCUGAUGCCGACCUACCAGGUGAUAUCCAACAUGCUAGUCCCACUCCAAGCAAAGGAAUUCCAACAAGAUGAUGAUAGUUCAUAUCUCCAAUCCAACGCAACUAGCCUCUCAGGAGGAAGAUAACAACAACACUAUUGGUGUCGGCGUCUAUGUGUCAUGUACACAUGUCUACUUACUUGCUCGAGCUUCCCAACAAUAUGUAACCGUUUUUGACACAAGUGGAACCUAAAUGUUGAAACUUUGAUUA